AAUUUGUCACAAAUUAUUUAGCGAGUGACAAUGUUCUAGCAAAUCAGUCACUUAGGGGUUCAAUCGAAUAAAAGUAAAAUAGCGAGGAAUAUUGUUGUCACUAUUCCGUCGCAAGUGUUUGAUAUACGAUUAGCGAAAAACAAUUCAUACACUAGUUUGUCGCUAAAUAAACUGUGCGAAAAAACUAAUUAGUGAGGAACAAUGUUCCUGUGAAUAACUUUCUAUUAGUAGUAGCUAUUCUGAGAAAGGGUGUGUGUCGUGCCAUUCGCAAGGAUUGUUUACGACAGGCCAGUACUGAUUCCGGGGUCAGGACUGCAAUUAACCAACAUAGCUCAUGUUAGGGUCUUGUCUUCAAUGCUUUCUCUAAGCUGUUGAGAAACCAGAAGCUGCAAAGAACAGCAUCUUCAACUGUGUGAGUAAUCGUGCUGUGACUCUAGAUGGAAUGGCAAAACUGUGUUCUCAAGCUGCAGGACGCCCAGUGAACAUUGUCCAUUAUGAUCCAAAAGUUGUUGGUGUUGAUGCAAAGAAAGUUUUCCCUUUUCGCAACAUGCACUCCUACGCUGAACCAAGAGCAGCCCAAAGAGAGGUUUGAGGAGUAAUGUCAAGAUUGGGAGAGACAAGAAAGUUCCAGUACUUGCGUGAUCCUUAUAUAGUUUGUCUUUUUUUAUUUAAAAAAAAUAAUGUAUAAACAUUGAUUGGACAAAGUGUAUUACAGAAGAAAGUUACUGCUCUCCCUAUUUAGAAUAAGAAUCUAUGAAUGGUCUACACCCGCAACAAAGAUCAAUUUCUUUACUAUGAAAAUUGAUAAAACCAAAACAAUCUCAAAUCUCAAACAUAGUUGCCAUUUGCCAAUAAAGGGAAUGUCUAGCAUACUUUGAGAAAUUCUUUCUACUACAUGGCCUUAAGUAAAAUAAAGGAAAAGAUAUAAAUAAAAAUAGAUAAUAAAGGAGCAAAUAUUACGUAUUUUAGAU